rnacentral:rRNA from 1 species
GACGAACGCUGGCGGCGUGCUUAACACAUGCAAGUCGAACGGAAGUUUCAGCAAUGAAACUUUAGUGGCGAACGGGUGAGUAACGCGUAGACAAACUACCUUCUAGAUGGGGACAACACUGCGAAAGUGGUGCUAAUACCGAAUGUAGUAACUUGGGUGCAUGCCUGAGUUACCAAAGAUGGCCUCUAUUUAUAAGCUAUCGCUAUAAGAUGGGUCUGAGUCUGAUUAGCUAGUUGGUGAGGUAAUGGCUCACCAAGGCGACGAUCAGUAGCCGGUCUGAGAGGAUGAACGGCCACACGUGGACUGAGACACGGCCCAGACUCCUACGGGAGGCAGCAGUGGGGAAUCUUCCGCAAUGGACGAAAGUCUGACGGAGCAACGCCGCGUGAGUGAUGACGGUUUUCGGAUUGUAAAACUCUGUCUUCAGGGACGAAUGUAUCUAUUGCUAAUACCAGUAGGUAAUGACGGUACCUGAGGAGGAAGCCACGGCUAACUACGUGCCAGCCGCCGCGGUAAAAC